rnacentral:rRNA from 1 species
AUAUUGCACAAUGGGCGCAAGCCUGAUCCAGCCAUGCCGCGCGUAUGAAGAAGGCCUUCGGGUUGUAAAGUACUUUCAGCGGGGAGGAAGGCGAUGAGGUUAAUAACUUCGUCGAUUGACGUUACCCGAAGAAGAAGCACCGGCUAACUCCGUGCCAGCAGCCGCGGUAAUACGGAGGGUGCAAGCGUUAAUCGGAAUUACUGGGCGUAAAGCGCACGCAGGCGGUCUGUCAAGUCAGAGGUGAAAACCCCGGGCUUAACCUGGGAACUGCAUUUGCAACUGGCAGGCUAGAGUCUUGUAGAGGGGGGUAGAAUUCCAGGUGUAGCGGUGAAAUGCGUAGAGAUCUGGAGGAAUACCGGUGGCGAAGGCGGCCCCCUGGACAAAGACUGACGCUCAGGUGCGAAAGCGUGGGGAGCAAAC